UACAGAGGGUGCAAGCGUUGUUCGGAAUUACUGGGGCGUAAAGCGCACGUAGGCGGAUUUGUAAGUCAGGGGUGAAAUCCCGGGGCUCAACCUCGGAACUGCCUUUGAUACUGCGAAUCUUGAGUCCGAUAGAGGUGGGUGGAAUUCCUAGUGUAGAGGUGAAAUUCGUAGAUAUUAGGAAGAACACCAGUGGCGAAGGCGGCCCACUGGAUCGGUACGUGACGCUGAGGUGCGAAAGCGUGGGGAGCAAACAGG
rnacentral:rRNA from 1 species